rnacentral:rRNA from 1 species
UACGUAGGGUGCGAGCGUUGCCCGGAUUUAUUGGGCGUAAAGGGCGCGUAGGCGGCUCGGCACGUCCGUUGUGAAAUCGCCCGGCUCAACUGGGCGGGGUCAGCGGAUACGGUCGAGCUUGAGCAAGCUAGGGGGCAAUGGAAUUCCCGGUGUAGUGGUGGAAUGCGUAGAUAUCAGGAGGAACACCGAUGGCGAAGGCAGUUCUCUGGGCCGUAACUGACGCUGAGGAGCGAAAGCGUGGGGAGCAAACAGG